rnacentral:rRNA from 1 species
UACGUAGGUGGCAAGCGUUACUCGGAAUCACUAGGCGUAAAGCGCAGGUAGGCGGUUUGGUAAGUCUUUUGUGAAAGCUCCUGGCUCAACUGGGAGAGGUCAAAGGAAACUACCAGGCUAGAGUGUGGUAGGGGAUACUGGAAUUCCUGGUGUAGCGGUGAAAUGCGUAGAUAUCAGGAGGAAUACCUAUGGCGAAAGCAGGUAUCUGGGCCAUCACUGACGCUGAGCUGCGAAAGCUAGGGGAGCAAACAGG